rnacentral:rRNA from 1 species
GAUGAACGCUGGCGGCGUGCUUAACACAUGCAAGUCGAGCGAAGCACUUUACUUUGAUUUCUUCGGAAUGAAGAGUGAUUUGACUGAGCGGCGGACGGGUGAGUAACGCGUGGGCAACCUGCCUCAUACAGGGGAUAACAGUUAGAAAUGACUGCUAAUACCGCAUAAGCGCACGGAACCGCAUGGUUUUUGUGUGAAAAAACUCCGGUGGUGUGAGAUGGACCCGCGUUGGA